GUUUGUUUUUCCCUUUUCACCCAGACCUGGCAGGCGAGAGGGGAGAGGGACAGGGUUUCAUGGUCAAAACAGGCAUAAUGAGUUCCAGACCUGAUGUCAUGCCGCAGCAAUGGAGAAAAAAAAAAACACAAACCACCAGAACGGGAAGCGAUAGUGCAGGCGGAGAGAAGUACCACUACUUCAUGCGAGCCAGAUGUUGUACAGAUGUGGCUUUUCAUGUCGGAAAACAGCCCAUUGCCAAUACAAGAAGGGGAAUAUUGUCUGAGCAAUGAUGGUAAAAUCUGCAAACACAGGAGAAAGAAAAGACAUUUCUGUGACCUUUUGUGGGGCUGUAAUAGUUUAUAAAGUGAGCUCAGCCAUUGCUAAACGGAGAAAAUAUGAAGCAGUCUUCCAAUAAAACCUCCCCCACCUCCUUUAUGACCUAUUCACUACACUUCUGUUGAAAACAUUCACUCGUCCAAACUCAUCUUUACAAAAGUUUUCUAACACAGACGGCAGGGACAGAGCCAACAUGACUGGUGUGAGUCGACCUGAACAAAGACUGAAGGACAAAGCCAUUUCAAAAAAGAAAAAACAGAAAGAGAGACGGAGAGAUUGCCACUGCAGACUGGAGAAGACCAAGCUGCAAAAAGUGAACAGAGAGAAUAAGAGAGGAAGUAAACAUAGCCCAGUUCUCAAGCAACAUUCCUCCCCCAAACCCAAAUAUGCAUGUAAAGGGAGGAGCAAUGGAGCUGAUUAGGAGAACACAGACAUGUUGAGUGAAAAGUGCUUUGUUUUUCAGAAAUUUAUUUUCUUUAAAUCUUAAUCUGGAGUGCAACAGAAAAGGAAAAGACAUUAGACAUUAGACAGAUCCAUGCAAUCAUAAAACAUGUGGUCAUAAUGACCAAAAUGGGCAAGAAACCGCACCAUUAAAGUCAUCCAUUCAACUUGUGCACUGAAUUCCUGUCUUGUCUACUGAAGCAAUAGAACAGCUUUGUGCAGAAAACAGCUUAAAAUGUACAUCUUUAUUCACUGAUAAUUACUUCAAAACUCAAAUCUAGCUUAGUUCUGCACUCGUUUCUUUCUGGUCUCAGCUUGCUCAUGACAUAUCAUUCGUGUUAGAUAAAGAUAUGGUUUUGACUCCAGAACUUUUCUUCCUAAGUAACUUCUCGGAAUUGCCAUUGUCUUCGCAACAGAGAAACUUACUUUUAGCUGCUUUCACUGCUGCUAAGAAAAUGUUAGUCAGUCGUUGGAUUCCUCCACAUACAAUGAGCAGGCAGGUAUGGCCCUUAUCUUUGCUGGACAUUAUUUCUUUGGAGCUGUUAACAGCUCGUAUUCAUGGAGCAAAGUCAAAAACUUUAAAGACUUGGAGUGCUACUUUUGAUGUUGUUAAAUCCUUUAUUUCUUCUUUUUGAUGUAAAAUUAUUUCUGUAUUUUAUAUCCAUGUAUUUUUUUUUUUUUUUUUUAAUGGUUGAUUAGGUACUUCACUAUACUUUUGUCACUGCUGUGUCUUGUAAUUUUUCAGCACAGUAUUUUUAUUUAAAUUUUUACUCAAUAAAAACAAUUGUUCACAAAAAAAAA